rnacentral:pre_miRNA from 1 species
UGAUGAUGAUGAUGAUGAUGAUGAUGAUGAUGAUGAUGAUGAUGAUGAUGAUGAUGGUGGUGGUGGUGGUAAGACUAUCCGUAUCAUCAUCGUCAUCAUCUCCUCAACAUCAUCCUCAUCG